UGGACCCGGCAGAGCCCAGCUCACAAAUAGAAGACAAGGCUGGGGAAAAGUGGAGUGAACUGGAGGGCUCCCAGCAGCUGCAGUUCCCAGCAUGCCCUGAAGGAAGGAAACUCUGUGCAAGCCUGGGACCCAGUAUCAGGCCGUUUCUCCUCUGGAUCCCUGGGUAGGAGAGAAGCCAGUUCAGGUAUUUCAGAGGAAGAUGCAAGAACCCUUGGACUGGCUACUUAUGGAAAGCAUCUUGGAGGGGGAGUUCCUGCCUUAACCCAACAAUGACUAGCUGGGGUAUGCACAAAAGAUAAGACAGCAUUAGAGCUUCUGCAGCUACUGCUCAGAAUUUUGCCAAUCAGCUACAGAAUGAAGUUAUCCAGUUUCUGGCUUUGGAACAGCUCAGCCCUGCACCACUCUCCGUUCCCCACCAGGGACAAGGGGGAUAAGGAUUUUCUUUUGCAUGAAGCUAUAAAAUGUUGGUUCCUGUUUCAUGGGUAUGAGUAUAAGACAAUAGCACGGAAUAUUAGAACUAUUUUCCACAGACGGUGGUGGUUUUAGCUGCUCUCACACAAGGAUCACAAAGGCACAGAGAACACAGCUGCUACUGGCAUCCUGAGCCUGGAACGUCGCUAGCCAGUUUACUGCAAUGGUAUCAGCCGAACUCAUGACAAAGCGGUGUGGGAAAGUGUUCGCCUGUGGAGGAAGAAAUAAGGCAACCUGGGAACCUUUAGGAGAGGAUUGCAGAGCAUCUCCCUGAAAGUUUCGAGAUCUCUCAGGAGGACAAAAAGGAAAUCUCUAUGCAAUACAAACAAAAUGCUCUGCAUGCCACCACCACCCCGCCCAACCUAAUGGGAAUGAAAAGAAGAUACCAAGUCGGUCUAUCUGUCUCUUGUACCACUACUCUUCUAGUAUGAAUAAAACAAUGAAAGUCAAUAUCUUUGUCUUGCAAGCCUGGAAUGGUUCGGGUGCAUCUUAAAUUUGAGCAAUGUAAUGAAAAGUGCAUGCACACGCUUACCUGAGUUCCCUUCCCCUUCAUCAGGCUCAUCUGCAAUCACCUGGCAUGACUGGCUACACUGACGUCUCAAAUUGGCUCGUGGUUUGGUAGGAGUCCCCCGCCCCAUUUCCCACCUCCUCUUCCCCAUUCAUGGCAGGGGUCUCUGGCUUAGGCUCCUCAGAGGUAUUCAUGGUGGUGUGCUGGUGCGGUCUGCAGCAAGUAUGACAUGAAGUGGCAGGUCUGUAGCACAGCACCAAAUCUAUUGCACUCCUUAACUUUGUGGCAUCCCUGGCAAAGUGCACACAGCACUGCUGCUGAUCCCUGUUAUACCCCUUUGCCUGCAUCCCCUGAACAAUUUGUUUGCACAUUGCUAUAGCUCUUCUGCAGCUGUGCUUGCUAAGUCUCUUCUCUCAGGCUCAGGAGAUCCAAUAUUUCUGCCUACUCCAGCCAGGAGCAUGUCUAGUGCUUGGAACCAGCCUGGAUGGUCAGGCAGUUGCACACAAUGGAGAGCUGCUAGAUGUGCUUACCAAGAAAAUCAUAUAUGGCAGAAGAUGCUUACAACUCACUCACCUUACGUGCUGAUGUAAUAGCCACAAGGAAAGCUGUAUUUGUCCAUGAAGACAACUGGGAACAAGAAACCCAGUGGUUUGAAAGGAUGAUCCAUGAGUCCAAAAUGAAGUCGAAUGAUCAGCUUCAUGGACACUGGAGGGUUUUGUCUCACACCACACAGCAGUAGAAAGGAAAUGGAGAGGUGGACGGUCCACACCAUCCCUUAUACCGUUCAUCUGGGGCACAAGGAGUGGAAAAGUACAGACGUGGACCAAUGGACACUUCUUGCAACAAUCUUUCAGUCUCAAGAGCAUGGAGCCCGUGUACGCACAGAGACACCAGCACUCAAAGAAUUUGAUGCUGUAUCAGCAGCACCAGUUGCAACUUGUACAGAGGUCUUAGCCAUUAACUGACUUGAGAUGAGAGAUUUCAAGUCCUUUCUAAAGUACAUGGACAUUUAUCCAGAAACUCCUCAGUCUUAUCCCAUGAAAAUAGUCAUAGUGAGAAAGAAGAGCCGGAUAAUUUGCUAAGCAAAGUGGUACGCUCGAGGACAAAUGACUUUUUAUG